GUGAGGAAUUUUGCGCAAUGGGGGCAACCCUGACGCAGCGACGACGCGUGGAGGACGAAGUCUUUCGGGAUGUAAACUCCUGUCAGUGGGGACGAUAAUGACGGUACCCACAGAGGAAGCACCGGCUAACUCCGUGCCAGCAGCCGCGGUAAGACGGAGGGUGCAAGCGUUGUUCGGAAUUACUGGGCGUAAAGCGUAUGUAGGCGGCAAGUUAAGUUCAAUGUUAAAGCCCACGGCUCAACCGAGGAGAUGCAUUGAAUACUGGCUAGCUAGCGGGUGUUAGAGGAAGACGGAAUUCCCAGUGUAGCGGUGAAAUGCGUAGAUAUUGGGAGGAACAUCGGUAGCGAAAGCGGUCUUCUGGGACAUACCUGACGCUGAGGUACGAAAGCGUGGGGAGCAAACGGGAUUAGAAACCCCUGUAGUCC
rnacentral:rRNA from 1 species